UACGGGGGGGGCAAGCGUUGUUCGGAAUUACUGGGCGUAAAGGGCGCGUAGGCGGCCUGCUAAGUCGGAUGUGAAAUCCCUCGGCUCAACCGAGGAACUGCAUCCGAUACUGGCGGGCUUGAAUCCGGGAGAGGGAUGUGGAAUUCCAGGUGUAGCGGUGAGAUGCGUAGAUAUCUGGAGGAACACCGGUGGCGAAGGCGGCAUCCUGGACCGGUAUUGACGCUGAGGCGCGAAAGCUAGGGGAGCAAACGGG
rnacentral:rRNA from 1 species